CAAGUCGAACGGUGAACACGGAGCUUGUUCUGUGGGAUCAGUGGCNAACGGGUGAGUAACACGUGAGCAACCUGCCCCUGACUCUGGGAUAAGCGCUGGAAACGGCGUCUAAUACUGGAUAUGUGACGUGACCGCAUGGUCUGCGUUUGGAAAGAUUUUUCGGUUGGGGAUNNUUUUNCGGCCUAUCAGCUUGUUGGUGAGGUAAUGGCUCACCAAGGCGUCGACGGGUAGCCGGCCUGAGAGGGUGACCGGCCACACUGGGACUGAGACACGGCCCAGACUCCUACGGGAGGCAGCAGUGGGGAAUAUUGCACAAUGGGCGGAAGCCCUGAUGCAGCAACGA
rnacentral:rRNA from 1 species